rnacentral:misc_RNA from 1 species
GAUGAAGAACGUAGCGAAAUGCGAAAAGUAAUGUGAAUUGCAGAAUUCAGUGAAUCAUCGAAUCUUUGAACGCACAUUGCGCCCGCUGGUACUCCGGCGGGCACGCCUGUCCGAGCGUCAUUUCAACCCUCAAGCCCUCCUUCGGGAUGGGCCUGGUGUUGGGGCUCGGCCGCCAUCUCCGGCGGCCGUCCCCUAAAUACAGUGGCGGUCACGUCGCGACUCCUUUGCGUAGUAGAAACACCUCGCUCCGGAUAGCAACGCGGUCCACGCCGUAAAACCCCCAAUUUUCAAUGGUUGACCUCGGAUCAGGUGGGAAUACCCGCUGAACUUAAGCAUAUCAAUAAGCGGAGA